CGACUUUGGUGUCGGGCCCAUCGGUGAUCAGCGAUGCCGGGGCCCCGUGCCGAGGCCUCCCAAUCCAUGCGGGUGGCUGAGGUACGCCACUACCCAAGCUGUGGUAGUGAGGACAUAUAAUGUUUGGUAGUGGGGAAUGGCGUGCACGCCAAGCCCCU
rnacentral:snRNA from 1 species